rnacentral:lncRNA from 1 species
CAAAACCAGUUCUUCAGAGCUUGUAAGUUGAAGUCCAAAAACAAGCAGCAGCGUGUUCGCCUGUGUUUCUGACAUUCUGAUCUAUCUCACUCUGAAAUCAUGAACUGAAACCAGAGACUAGCUUCGAUCGUCACUGAAAUCCCCUCUUCUUGGCCCGAAGAGAUGUCAUAUGUGGGAAGUUAAAA